rnacentral:rRNA from 1 species
CCUACGGGAGGCAGCAGUAGGGAAUCUUCCACAAUGGGCGAAAGCCUGAUGGAGCAACGCCGCGUGAGUGAUGAAGGCCUUCGGGUUGUAAAACUCUGUCAUUCGGGACGAACCGGAGUCUGAGGAAAUGCAGACUCUCUGACGGUACCGGAGGAGGAAGCCCCGGCUAACUACGUGCCAGCAGCCGCGGUAAUACGUAGGGGGCAAGCGUUGUCCGGAUUCACUGGGCGUAAAGCGCGCGCAGGCGGUGAUGUAAGUCUGAGGUGAAAACCCGAAGCUCAACUUCGGGACUGCCUUGGAUACUGCGUCACUUGAGGAUAGGAGAGGCAAGGGGAAUUCCACGUGUAGCGGUGAAAUGCGUAGAGAUGUGGAGGAACACCUGUGGCGAAGGCGCCUUGCUGGCCUAUUUCUGACGCUGAGGCGCGAAAGCGUGGGGAGCAAACAGGAUUAGAUACCCUGGUAGUCCACGCUGUAAACGAUGAGUGCUAGGUGUAGGUGGGCUCAUACCCAUCUGUGCCGAAGCUAACGCAUUAAGCACUCCGCCUGGGGAGUACGGUCGCAAGACUGAAACUCAAAGAGUAGUUAGGCGNGNGAGAGCGACGACGACGACACGGAGGGAGGAGG